CAGGGUCCCAGGGGACCUCAGGGCAUGAUGGGACCUCCAGGCAAAGCAGGAAGAAGAGGCCGUGCAGGAGCUGAUGGUGCCAGGGGAAUGCCAGGAGAGUCUGGAAUUAAGGGUGACCGUGGUUUUGAUGGUCUUCCUGGUUUGCCAGGUGACAAAGGACACAGGGGUGACACUGGAGGAAUGGGACCCCCGGGACCUCAAGGAGAG